UCCCCAACUAUCGAUGCUUACAGUAUUAGAAAUGAAAACUCAGAGCUUUUAAGAAAACAAGGCUUUAGGGCCGGGUGCAGUGGCUCACACUGUAAUCCUAGCACUUUAAGAAAACAAGGCUCUGCAAACACUUAUCUCAUUCGCCAUCCAAGUGAUGACAUCCUCAUACGUCGUGUGGCCUCUGAAAAGCUCCAAUGCAGGCUUGCACAUGAAAGAGGGUGUAAAGGGCAGACAGUGUCUCAGCAGUUUCAUGUGUUCUGUGCUGUCAGGGUUCUAAGACGAGCCUCAAUGACACACGCCCUGUGCAAUUUCUUCCCCUGCAGCGUGGGAGGAAGCUGGAGUGUGAUGGAACGUAUCUCCUGUGAUUGGGCGACUUUCAGCUAAGCCAAAGGGAGGUGAUCUUGGUGGGCCUGAUCUAAUCAGGGGAGCCUUUCAAGGAACCUGGGGGAACCCCUGAAAGGGUCUCGGGGGCCCCCACAGCACACUUGGAGGAACCCCUGUGCUAGAGAGGUUGGUGCCUGUGUAGCAGCGUGCCCCUAACAGCAGAGUCACAGCCCUAGGCUGGAAGCCACCAGUGCCCACCUCUGGUUCAGUGGAUAAUCAAGUGCAGUUUACUCAUCUAAUAGAACACCACAGAAGAAUGGAUAUGAGAGGGUUAUCACCGCAUGUAUCAACAUGAUGGGUCUCUGCUGGGCGCGGUGGAAGACUUUGUUAAAUGAAUGAGCGCGCAGGGAAGAGCAGGUGCUUUGUGAACUUGAGAGCUUCACUUCCUAAUCCUGUGACUCCAACAUUCAAUUAAAGGUAAAGAAAACCAGCAAGACGAGGUAGGGAGUUCUGUAUCCUGUGUUUGUUUUUUUUUUUCUUCUUUUUAUUUUUUGCUUUUGAGACAGAGUCUCACUCUGUCACCCAGGCUGGAGUGCGAUGGCAUGAUCUUGGCUCACCACAACCUCCGCCUCCUGGGUUCAAGCGAUUCUCCUGUCUUAGCCUCCUGAGUAGCUGGGACUAUAGGCGUGUGCCAAUACACCCAGCUAAUUUUUGUUUUUUAGUAGAGAUGGGGAUUUCACCAUGUUGGCCAGGCUGGUCUCGAACUCCUGACCUCGUGAUCCAGGGCCCCCCUCCCCUCCCCCCAAGUUUCCAAAGUGCUGGGAUUACAGGCGCGAGCCACUGCGCCCGGCUCCACAUCCACUUUUUUAAAAAGUGUAGUAAAAAACAUAUUGACAUAAAAUUUACCAUCUUAAUCAUUUUAAAAUGCACAGUUCAGUGGUGUUAAGCAUAUUAACGUUGUUGUGAAACCGAUCUCCAAAACUUUUUCAUCUUGCAAAUGUGAAACUUUGCACUAAUUAAACAACUCCCAUUUCCCCCCAUCUGCCCAGCCCCUGGUAACCAGCAUUCUACUUUUUGUUUCUAUGCAUUUGACUACUUCAGGUUAUCACAUAAGCAGAAUCAUACUUCUGCGACUGGCUUAUUUCACUUAGCAUAAUAUCCUCAAGGUUCAUCUCUGUUGUAGCUAGUAUGUUAGCUGCAGUCUUUCCUUUUUAAGGCUGGCUAAAAUUCCAUUGUGUGUAUGUACUACAUGCUGUUUACCUGUUCAUCCAUUGAUGAACAUUUGGGUUGCUU
rnacentral:lncRNA from 1 species